UACGUAGGGGGCAAGCGUUGUCCGGAAUCAUUGGGCGUAAAGCGCGUGUAGGCGGUCCGGUAAGUCCGCUGUGAAAGUCGGGGGCUUAACCCUCGGAUGCCGGUGGAUACUGUCGGGCUUGAGUACGGAAGAGGCGAGUGGAAUUCCUGGUGUAGCGGUGAAAUGCGCAGAUAUCAGGAGGAACACCAAUUGCGAAGGCAGCUCGCUGGGACGUUACUGACGCUGAGACGCGAAAGCGUGGGGAGCAAACAGG
rnacentral:rRNA from 1 species